rnacentral:rRNA from 1 species
GAUGAAUGCUGGCGGCGUGCCUAACACAUGCAAGUCGAACGGUGAGGCAGGAGCUUGCUCCUGUGGAUCAGUGGCGAACGGGUGAGUAACACGUGAGCAAUCUGCCCUGGACUCUGGGAUAAGCGUUGGAAACGACGUCUAAUACCGGAUACGAGGCGUGGGGGCAUCCCCAACGCCUGGAAAGAACUUCGGUCCAGGAUGGGCUCGCGGCCCAUCAGGUAGUUGAUGAGGUCACGGCUCACCAAGCCUACGACGGGUAGCCGGCCUGAGAGGGUGACCGGCCACACUGGGACUGAGACACGGCCCAGACUCCUACGGGAGGCAGCAGUGGGGAAUAUUGCACAAUGGGCGCAAGCCUGAUGCAGCAACGCCGCGUGAGGGACGACGGCCUUCGGGUUGUAAACCUCUUUUAGCAGGGAAGAAGCGAAAGUGACGGUACCUGCAGAAAAAGCACCGGCUAACUACGUGCCAGCCGCCGCAGUAACAC